rfam:Triticum aestivum genome assembly, contig: Triticum_aestivum_CS42_TGACv1_scaffold_570418_7AS
UAAGUACUCCCUCCGUUCGAAAAUACUUGUCAUAGAAAUGCAUAAAAAUAAAUAUAUCUAAAACUAAAAUACAUCUAGAUACAUCCAUUCCUCCGACAAGUAUUUCCGGACGGAGAAAGUACUAC